CAGGUGCGUAGCGCGCAAUUUAGUCACACCCCUUCUUGAUACAUCAACUCGCUGACACACCAUUCUAAGUGGAAGUUUUAGAAAUUUCUGGAAGCAAAACUGUAAAUUAAAAAGGACUUGUUGAAAUGGCUUUUGAGGACAAGAUAUUUUCCUGCUUGUUGGAUAAAGAAUAUGAUUCUGAACCAAUUUAUUAUGUUGCGCCAACUGAUUUAUCUUUGAAACGAAUGUGAUUCAACCUGAAGCUGAAUGAAAAAUGAGAAAGUGAAUCUGAAAUAUUCAGAGGACUCCAUUCCCUUGUUGGUGGAAGAGCUAUGGUAGCCCCUGGACACAUGAUAUCCUGCAAUGAAAAGCAUAAUAGUAAGGGGGAGGGGGUGGCCGCGAGAGAUAUAGAUCGAUAGUGUACAAACUGAAUUGGCUGAUAUAGUGUCUAAUAGCAAAUCCAGGGGUUACCAGUGCAUAAGCAGUUAAUUGAACUGUGAAACUUUUAUUCAUGUCUAAAAGGAGCCAAUGAAAAAUGCUUUUUCCUUCAUAAUAUUCGUCUUUUUUUCUUUUUGGAUCCCCGUUUUGUCGUUGGGUGUGCACAAGUCAGCCAACGCAAAUGGGUCUACAGAGCAGCUUAAUGAUUGACAGGGGAAUAAGUAAGGAAAGAAGAAAAUAAUGGAAAACCCGUGUUACAAUGCCGGCUUUUUUUCCUAGCAAAUAUCAAUGUCAUUCAGUCUGAAGCUCGAAAGAAAAACAGGAAUUUUUUUUUAUUCAUUUUGGUGUUUGAUUCCAACUAACUAUCGAUCCAUCCUAUACCAGGAAAGAUAGAUUUGAAAUAUUUAGCGUGCCAACAUCACCUUGGUAUGGUGGAAGAAUUACGCCAACACUUGGACGCACGAAAUCCUCCACUGAAUAGCAUACUAGUACUCGGCCUCAGUGGUGGAGCUCUUUAUGCUUACCUGCACCAGGUAUACCCGCACAUUAAAGUCGAUGGUGCCGAAAUCGACCUGAUCAUGGUAGAAUAGGCUAACAAGUAUUUUGGAUUCAAACCCAAAGACUAAAAUUAAUUUUGCAUUU